rnacentral:rRNA from 1 species
GUAGGUGGCAAGCGUUGUCCGGGAAUUAUUGGGGCGUAAAGCGCGCGCAGGCGGUUCUUUAAGUCUGAUGUGAAAGCCCACGGGCUCAACCGUGGGAGGGUCAUUGGAAACUGGAGAACUUGAGUACAGAAGAGGAAGGCGGAAUUCCACGUGUAGCGGUGAAAUGCGUAGAGAUGUGGAGGAACACCAGUGGCGAAGGCGGCUUUCUGGUCUGUAACUGACGCUGAGGCGCGAGAGCGUGGGGAGCAAACAGGAUUAGAUACCCUGGUAGUCCACGCCGUAAACGAUGAGUGCUAAGUGUUAGGGGGUUUCCGCCCCUUAGUGCUGCAGCUAACGCAUUAAGCACUCCGCCUGGGGAGUACGGCCGCAAAGGCUGA